rnacentral:rRNA from 1 species
UUCCGUAGGUGAACCUGCGGAAGGAUCAUUACUGAGAGAGGGGCUUCGUGCUCCCGGGGGUUUCGGCCCCCAACUCUUCACCCUUUGCGUAUCUACCUUUGUUGCUUUGGCGGACCCGAGAUGCCUCUCGCGCUGGCUCUUAGGUCGGUGAGCGUCCGUCAGAGGUCCCUUUUAUCCUAUUUAUUAGUAAUGUCCAAGUCUAAACACAAUGAAUUAAAAACUUUCAACAACGGAUCUCUUGGUUCCAGCAUCGAUGAAGAACGCAGCGAAAUGCGAUAAGUAAUGUGAAUUGCAGAAUUCAGUGAAUCAUCGAAUCUUUGAACGCACAUUGCGCCCCUCGGCAUUCCGGGGGGCAUGCCUGUUCGAGCGUCAUUGCACCCCUCAAGCGCAGCUUGGUAUUGGGCUCUCGUCCCCGUGGCGUGCCUGAAAAACAGUGGCGGUCCGGCGUGACUUUGAGCGUAGUAACAUCUCCCGCUCUAAAGCUCUCGCUGUGUCCGGCCAAACAACCUUAUCUACUUCUAUAAUUGACCUCGGAUCAGGUAGGGAUACCCGCUGAACUUAAGCAUAUCAUAAGCGGAGGAUAGAACCAACA